GCGGGUGUAGCUCAGUUGGUAGAGCAUCACGUUGCCAACGUGAAUGUCGACGGUUCGAGUCCGUUCACCCGCU
rnacentral:tRNA from 1 species